rnacentral:rRNA from 2 species
UCUGGUGGUUCUAGCGAUGAGGAAACACCUGUUCCCAUUUCGAACACAGCAGUUAAGCUCAUCAGCGCCGAUGAUAGCCUUCUGGGUGAAAGUAGGACGCUGCCAGGU